rnacentral:rRNA from 1 species
AUGAACGUGGCGCUCAUACUUCGUUGGGUUUGGCAGAUCUUGCGGGGAGAUGGAGGUUUGUGGCUGCAACUGAUUGAGUCCAAGCAGCCCCUCUUAGCUUGCUCGCACUCGGCUAGGUCCCAGUUUUGGAAAUCUGUCCAGGCCAUUAAGGAUGAGAUUAGGCUGGGUUUGCAGUUCUCGGUUGGUAAUGGGUCUGGGACCCAAUUUUGGUUGGACCCCUGGCUUGAUGGGGAGCCUCUCCGCAUGCGGUUUCCGAGGCUCUUUGCGAUUUUUGACGACCCGGCUGUUCUUGUUUCUGCGGCUGCUUUGGAUGAGGGAUGGAACACUGCGUUCUGCCGCUCAUUCGGACCAGCAGAGGUGCAGGAAUGGGCAAACUUGAGGGAACUAGUACCUCUUCCUUUGUCCCAGGAUCCUGACACUGUUUCUUGGAGUCUUUCUCCUUCGGGAGAAUUCUCCAUAAGUUCCGCUUAUCAGGCGCUAUGCUGGCUACCAGUUCUUAUUACCUCUUGA